rnacentral:rRNA from 1 species
GGCUCAGAUUGAACGCUGGCGGCAUGCUUUACACAUGCAAGUCGAACGGUAACAGGCCGCAAGGUGCUGACGAGUGGCGAACGGGUGAGUAAUGCAUCGGAACGUGCCCAGUCGUGGGGGGAUAACGCAGCGAAAGCUGCGCUAAUACCGCAUACGAUCUAUGGAUGAAAGCGGGGGACCGUAAGGCCUCGCGCGAUUGGAGCGGCCGAUGUCAGAUUAGGUAGUUGGUGGGGUAAAGGCUCACCAAGCCAACGAUCUGUAGCUGGUCUGAGAGGACGACCAGCCACACUGGGACUGAGACACGGCCCAGACUCCUACGGGAGGCAGCAGUGGGGAAUUUUGGACAAUGGGCGCAAGCCUGAUCCAGCAAUGCCGCGUGCAGGAAGAAGGCCUUCGGGUUGUAAACUGCUUUUGUACGGAACGAAACGGUCCUGGUUAAUACCUGGGGCUAAUGACGGUACCGUAAGAAUAAGCACCGGCUAACUACGUG